rnacentral:rRNA from 1 species
GAUAAACGCUAGCGACAGGCUUAACACAUGCAAGUCGAGGGGCAGCACGGGAGUAGCAAUACAACUGGUGGCGACCGGCGCACGGGUGAGUAACGCGUAUGCAACCUACCUAUCAGAGGGGAAUAACCCGGCGAAAGUCGGACUAAUACCGCAUAAAACAGGGGCACCGCAUGGUGAUAUUUGUUAAAGAAAUUCGCUGAUAGAUGGGCAUGCGUUCCAUUAGGUAGUUGGUGAGGUAACGGCUCACCAAGCCGACGAUGGAUAGGGGAACUGAGAGGUUGGUCCCCCACACUGGUACUGAGACACGGACCAGACGCCUACGGGAGGCAGCAGUGAGGAAUAUUGGUCAAUGGGCGGGAGCCUGAACCAGCCAAGUCGCGUGAAGGAAGAAGGAUCUAUGGUUCGUAAACUUCUUUUGCAGGGGAAUAAAGUGCAGGACGUGUCCUGUUUUGUAUGUACCCUGAGAAUAAGGAUCGGCUAACUCCGUGCCAGCCGCCGCCGUAAGAC